GGAGGAUUAGCUCAGCUGGGAGAGCACCUGCCUUACAAGCAGGGGGUCGGCGGUUCGAGCCCGUCAUCCUCCA
rfam:Lysinibacillus sinduriensis BLB-1 = JCM 15800 contig32, whole genome shotgun sequence.